rnacentral:ncRNA from 2 species
UAAUGCAGCUAGGGGAGCCUUCCUUAAAUAGGCUGAGAUGGUUGAAUAAUCAACCGAACCCUUUGAACCUGAGAGUUAGAACUCGCGUAGGGAAAGCGAUCCACUUACACG